ACGAACGCUGGCGGCGUGCUUAACACAUGCAAGUCGCACGGAAAGGCCCUGCUUUUGUGGGGUGCUCGAGUGGCGAACGGGUGAGUAACACGUGAGUAACCUGCCCUUGACUUUGGGAUAACUUCAGGAAACUGGGGCUAAUACCGGAUAGGAGCUCCUGCUGCAUGGUGGGGGUUGGAAAGUUUCGGCGGUUGGGGAUGGACUCGCGGCUUAUCAGCUUGUUGGUGGGGUAGUGGCUUACCAAGGCUUUGACGGGUAGCCGGCCUGAGAGGGUGACCGGCCACAUUGGGACUGAGAUACGGCCCAGACUCCUACGGGAGGCAGCAGUGGGGAAUAUUGCACAAUGGGCGGAAGCCUGAUGCAGCAACGCCGCGUGCGGGAUGACGGCCUUCGGGUUGUAAACCGCUUUCGCCUGUGACGAAGCGUGAGUGACGGUAAUGGGUAAAGAAGCACCGGCUAACUACG
rnacentral:rRNA from 1 species